UACGGAGGGUGCAAGCGUUAAUCGGAAUCACUGGGCGUAAAGCGCGCGUAGGCGGCUUUUUAAGUCAGAGGUGAAAUCCCACGGCCCACCCGUGGAACUGCCUUUGAUACUGGAAGGCUUGAGUGAGUGAGAGGAUAGUGGAAUUCCUGGUGUAGGAGUGAAAUCCGUAGAGAUCAGGAGGAACAUCAGUGGCGAAGGCGACUAUCUGGCACUAUACUGACGCUGAGGUGCGAAAGCGUGGGUAUCAAACAGG
rnacentral:rRNA from 1 species